rnacentral:rRNA from 1 species
ACCAGAGAUUCAGUGAAAUUGUAGUGGAGGUGAAAAUUCCUCCUACCCGCGGCAAGACGGAAAGACCCCGUGGACCUUUACUACAACUUAGCACUGCUAACGGGAAUAUCAUGCGCAGGAUAGGUGGGAGGCUUUGAAGUAAGGGCUUUGGCUCUUAUGGAGCCAUCCUUGAGAUACCACCCUUGAUGUUUCUGUUAGCUA